rnacentral:rRNA from 1 species
CUGUCGCCGGUACGGACGUCGCGACCCGUUUGGUGUCGGUCUCAGGAGACGCGUUUCACGUUCGUCGACGCGUCGUCUGCUUCGGUAGGCGCGCGUUGCGAGUACGCGUUCGUGUUCCGGCCGGCUCGCCAGACGGUAGGUUAAUGGUGGCCGUGGCGGUCGUUCGCUUCGCGGCGAUCAGCGCCGUCCACGGUGCCGGUUUGCGACGAAUCUUCGGGCCUCUUUCCGACCCGUCUUGAAACACGGACCAAGGAGUCUAACGUGCGCGCGAGUCGCGGGGUGUCGAGCGGCGGUCGUGUUUCGGCACGACCGACGUUCGUUACGACGCGAAACCCGUACCGUUCAUUCGGAAGGCGCAAUGAAAGUGAAAUGGGGAAGAUGGCGUUACCGAGUUCACGUUUCGCGACUCGAUCGCGACCGGUCGCCCGCAUUCCCAGGGCGUCCCAACGGCUCGACGGCGUUGCGGAUCGUCGUUCUUUCGGGAACGGCGGUCGGGCGUCGUCGGUCCGGGGCGCACCUACAGCGUGCACG